ACAGGUAGAGUAGGCACCACUGCUGCUGCAUGUGUAACGUGAAUCAAAAAUGCUUAGAUAUAAAACUAACCAUUGCAACGACUCUUGUAACUCCUUGCGCUCAGUAACUUUAGGGCAAGAGCCCAAGCUUAAAUUUACUUGUAACAAGGAGACAUAAGAUGUCUAACCGUCAAACUGGCGUUGUAAAAUGGUUUAACGAUGAGAAAGGUUUCGGCUUUAUCACUCCAGAAAGUGGUGAAGAUUUAUUCGUUCACUUCCGCGCUAUUCAAGCGGAUGGUUUCAAAACUCUGAAAGAAGGCCAACAGGUUUCUUUCGUUGCAGCGCGCGGCCAAAAAGGCAUGCAAGCUGAAGAAGUACAAGUUAUCGCUUAAUUCGAUAGCUGUGAAAAAACCCGCUUUUUAGCGGGUUUUUUCUU
rnacentral:sRNA from 1 species